AUUGAACGCUGGCGGCAGGCCUAAGACAUGCAAGUCGAGCGAGAAAGUACUUCGGUACGAGUACAGCGGCGGACGGGUGAGUAACGCGUAGGAAUCUACCUAGUAGUGGGGGACAACUCGUGGAAACGCGAGCUAAUACCGCACACGCCCUACGGGGGAAAGCGGGGGAUCUUCGGACCUCGUGCUAUUAGAUGAGCCUGCGUAAGAUUAGCUAGUUGGUGGGGUAAAGGCCUACCAAGGCGACGAUCUUUAGCUGGUCUGAGAGGAUGAUCAGCCACACCGGGACUGAGACACGGCCCGGACUCCUACGGGAGGCAGCAGUCGGGAAUAUUGCGCAAUGGGCGAAAGCCUGACGCAGCCAUGCCGCGUGUGUGAAGAAGGCCCUAGGGUUGUAAAGCACUUUCAAUUGGGAGGAAAGGCUAAUGGUUAAUAGCCAUUAGCCCUGACGUUACCUUUAGAAGAAGCACCGGCUAACUCCGUGCCAGCAGCCGCGGUAAUACGGAGGGUGCAAGCGUUAAUCGGAAUUACUUGGGCGUAAAGCGCGCGUAGGCGGCUCUUUAAGUCGGAUGUGAAAGCCCCGGGCUCAACCUGGGAACUGCAUCCGAUACUGGGGAGCUAGAGUGUAGGAGAGGGAGGUAGAAUUCCAUGUGUAGCAGUGAAAUGCGUAGAUAUAUGGAGGAAUACCAGUGGCGAAGGCGGCCUCCUGGCUUAACACUGACGCUGAGGUGCGAAAGCGUGGGGAGCAAACGGGAUUAGAUACCCCGGUAGUCCACGCCGUAAACGAUGUCUACUAGCUGUAGGGGUACUUGAGACCUUUGUAGCCCAGCUAACGCACUAA
rnacentral:rRNA from 1 species